UACGAAGGGGGCUAGCGUUGUUCGGAAUUACUGGGCGUAAAGCGCGCGUAGGCGGCUUUGUAAGUUAGAGGUGAAAGCCCGGAGCUCAACUCCGGAACUGCCUUUAAAACUGCAUCGCUUGAAUCAUGGAGAGGUGAGUGGAAUUCCGAGUGUAGAGGUGAAAUUCGUAGAUAUUCGGAAGAACACCAGUGGCGAAGGCGACUCACUGGACAUGUAUUGACGCUGAGGUGCGAAAGCGUGGGGAGCAAACAGG
rnacentral:rRNA from 1 species